CCUACGGGAGGCAGCAGUAAGGAAUCUUGCGCAAUGGGCGAAAGCCUGACGCAGCGACGCCGCGUGGGCGAUGAAGGCCUUCGGGUUGUAAAGCCCUUUUCUGGGGGACGAGGAAGGACGGUACCCCAGGAAUAAGUCACGGCUAACUACGUGCCAGCAGCCGCGGUAAAACGUAGGUGGCAAGCGUUAUCCGGAAUCACUGGGCGUAAAGGGCGUCUAGGCGGACGGGUAAGUCGUGCGUGAAAGCUUCCGGCUCAACCGGGAGAGGUCGUACGAUACUGCCUGUCUUGAGGGUCGGAGAGGGACGUGGAAUUCCCGGUGUAGCGGUGAAAUGCGUAGAUAUCGGGAGGAAGGCCUGUGGCGAAGGCGGCCCUCUGGCGCUUGACUGACGCUGAGGCGCGAAAGCGUGGGGAGCGAACAGGAUUAGAUACCCCUGUAGU
rnacentral:rRNA from 1 species